rnacentral:rRNA from 1 species
AACGAACGCUGGCGGCAUGCCUAACACAUGCAAGUCGAACGAGACCUUCGGGUCUAGUGGCGCACGGGUGCGUAACGCGUGGGAACCUGCCCUUAGGUUCGGAAUAACUCCCCGAAAGGGGUGCUAAUACCGGAUAAUGUCUUCGGACCAAAGAUUUAUCGCCUUUGGAUGGGCCCGCGUUGGAUUAGCUAGUUGGUAGGGUAAAAGCCUACCAAGGCGACGAUCCAUAGCUGGUCUGAGAGGAUGAUCAGCCACACUGGGACUGAGACACGGCCCAGACUCCUACGGGAGGCAGCAGUGGGGAAUAUUGGAAAAUGGGCGAAAGCCUGAUCGAGCAAUGCCGCGUGAGUGAUGAAGGCGUUAGGGUUGUAAAGCUCUUUUACCCGGGAUGAUAAUGACAGUACCGGGAGAAUAAGCUCCGGCUAACUCCGUG